rnacentral:tRNA from 1 species
CGGGGUGUCGUAUAGUGGUAGUACGCAAGGCUGGGGGUCUUGUAGCGGGAGUUCAAUUCUCCCCACCCCGACAA